rnacentral:rRNA from 1 species
UACGUAGGGUGCGGGCGUUGUCCGGAAUUAUUGGGCGUAAAGAGCUUGUAGGCGGUUUGUCGCGUCUGCUGUGAAAUCUCAAGGCUCAACCUCGGGCUUGCAGUGGGUACGGGCAGACUAGAGUGCGGUAGGGGAGACUGGAAUUCCUGGUGUAGCGGUGGAAUGCGCAGAUAUCAGGAGGAACACCGAUGGCGAAGGCAGGUCUCUGGGCCGCAACUGACGCUGAGGAGCGAAAGCAUGGGGAGCGAACAGG